CAUGUAUGAUACUGCACACAACG
rnacentral:miRNA from 1 species